rnacentral:rRNA from 1 species
UACGUAGGGGGCAAGCGUUGUCCGGAAUCAUUGGGCGUAAAGCGCGCGUAGGCGGCCAGACAAGUCCGGUGUGAAAGUCACAGGCUCAACCUGUGAAUGCCGCUGGAAACUGUCUGGCUAGAGUCCGGAAGGGGCGAGUGGAAUUCCUGGUGUAGCGGUGAAAUGCGCAGAUAUCGGGAGGAACACCUAUGGCGAAGGCAGCUCGCUGGGACGUUACUGACGCUGAGACGCGAAAGCGUGGGGAGCAAACAGG